AUUGAACGCUGGCGGCAUGCUUUACACAUGCAAGUCGAACGGUAACAGGCCGCAAGGUGCUGACGAGUGGCGAACGGGUGAGUAAUGCAUCGGAACGUGCCCAGUCGUGGGGGAUAACGCAGCGAAAGCUGCGCUAAUACCGCAUACGAUCUAUGGAUGAAAGCGGGGGACCGUAAGGCCUCGCGCGAUUGGAGCGGCCGGUGGCAGCUUAGGUAGUUGGUGGGGUAAAGGCUCACCACGCCGACGAUCUGUAGCUGGUCUGAGAGGACGACCAGCCACACUGGGACUGAGACACGGCCCAGACUCCGACGGGAGGCAGCAGUGGGGAAUUGUGGACAAUGGGGGCAACCCUGAUCCAGCAAGGCCGCGUGCAGGAAGAAGGCCUUCGGGUUGUAAACUGCUUUUGUACGGAACGAAACGGCUCUGGUUAAUACCCGGGGCUAAUGACGGUACCGUAAGAAUAAGCACCGGCUAACUACGUGCCAGCCGCCGCCGUAA
rnacentral:rRNA from 1 species